CAGUCACAGGCACAGACGGCUGCUGCAAAAGCUUCAGGCUUUUCCGACCCGCAUGCAUUCUGUACUCAAAGGACAAGCUCCGGCCAAUGCCAUUCAUGGAGCGUCCAUCACUUCUCUGUAAGCCAAUGCUGCGUUGGAGAGAAGCGAUUGGCCCUUUCAGGCUAUAUAUACUGGAUUCAUGGCUGGGAAAUGCUCCGUGUUUUUCAAGUUUUUGGUUCCUGGGUUCAACAAACGACUUAUUGUAUUCGAAAAAGUGCAAAACAAACUACUAUAGUUACUUCCGCUAUGCAGACAAUAUUGAUGUUGAACAUAUUGGCACACAAUCUCCAACUAAAAGUUUUGUCAGUGGGAGUGUUCAAAAGAUUGGUAUCUCAAAUUGUCAUCUAUGAGACUUUUGAUUCAAUCAAUCAGUGGGAGGAAAAGGUUAAUUUGCAGCUGUUCCAUUAAAUGUUCCUAGUCUUCUCGUGUUGACUUAUCAAUAAUGCAUACUGCUGAUUACGCAGUUUCUGAUUUCUGAUGUAUAUUGAUUUGCAGCUUAAUUUAUUGCUUACAUAAAUUUUGUUCUAGUUGGUUUGACACAGAUUUUAAUGUUUUGAUUGAAAAUACAUAAUUGAGUUCAACUAUGAAUUUGUCUUCAGUUGGGAUUAGGAUUGUGAUUAGGAUUGUGACCCAAUAUUUUUGUUCUACAUAUGAACAGUCACUUCCAGUAGCUUUCAGUAGUUCUCUGAGUGAAAAGAAACUGGAUAAAGCAGUUAUUAAAAGCUGCUUGGGAUCUUGGUGUGUGAGACUUGGCAGGAGUGUUGAUGGAGUACUUUCUUUCGAAGAAGGUUGGGAAGUUUUUGUGAACCAUCACGGCCUGAACAUUGGAGAAAUGGUAGUAUUUGAACACAAAGGCAAAAUGGUGUUCACUGUGGUUGCCUAUGAGUCUUGGUAGUGAGAAAGAGUAUGAACUGCAGAGCGACAAGCACCAGCAUGAUUACAAAGGAAAAAGAACCUUAAAAGGAACUGCAUCCUCAAGCUCAAGGACUUUGUUCAGUACCACGAUGAGUAAAACCCAUGGGGAUCCUCUUCAUGCUUAUAUGACUUUUCCUGCAAAAUUUGCAAGAUCAAAUGGCAUUGUGGCCACAUCCAGAAUCAUUCUCAAAGACCCGUCUGAAAGAUCAUGGCCGCUGAUCAUAAGUAAAGUGGGAAAGCAAAACCAGGGGUAGUCAUCGUAUAGCUACUAGAAAAGGAUGGUACAAGUUUUAUGAAGCCAACAAGCUCAAAAAUGGAGAUGUCUGCACAUUCAACCUCAAACCGGUAUCAUCUAAGUCAGGUUCAAAAUCAACACGUGUCUUGGAAAUCCAGAUAACCCGCGUUGGAUCCUAGUCCAUUGGUCAAUUUGUUGUUGUCUUUCAGAUUUUGAACAAAGAUUAUCAAGCCAGAAGAAUGGAACUUUGGUGAUAUCUUUAUUUAAUCACGGUUUAUUUUACACUUUAAUCCCCGAAAGUUAAAAUAAAUUUACUUUUGUCGAACCCA